rfam:Cricetulus griseus cell line CHO-K1, whole genome shotgun sequence.
GAGAGGUGGCUCAGCAGUUAGGAGCACUGGCUGCUUUUCCAGAGGACCUGGGUUCAAUUCCCAGCCCUCA